rnacentral:lncRNA from 1 species
GUUUGAAGAUGACUAUUUAAGACCGACUAAAUUGUUAAAUUUAUUAUUUCUGGAGUAACACAGUAGUUUAAAAGUCUUCCAGCAGGUUUUACAUAUUUUUCAUUAUGAACAAAUUAAUGCUGGUGUUACUCCUGGUGAGUUGUAUCACCAUGGUCAUCGUUCCCGAGGUAGCCGAAGCUCAGCGCAGAGGAAGGUGCAAAUGUAGAUAUAGAUGUUACCGUGGAGAAUACGCACGGGGACGCUGUGGUUAUAGGACUCUUUGCUGUAGAAGAUAUUAUGGCUAAUAAGGAAUGAAGUCGAUUGGCGCCAGCUUGAAUUGGUCAUUUUUUAAAACUUUUUGAUGGAGGACUAAAGAACUUUAAUUUUAUGUUAAUGAUUCUUAAAUAAAAAAAUGCAAGAAAUCAUA